rnacentral:rRNA from 1 species
GCAGCCUGCAACUCGGCUGCAUGAAGCUGGAAUCGCUAGUAAUCGCGGAUCAGAACGCCGCGGUGAAUGCGUUCCCGGGUCUUGUACACACCGCCCGUCACACCUUGGGAGCCGGAAACGCCCGAAGCCAGCGGCCUAACCGCAAGGAGGGAGCUGUCGAAGGCGGGGCCGGUGACCGGGGUGAAGUCGUAACAAGGUAAC